CCUACGGGUGGCAGCAGUGGGGAAUAUUGCACAAUGGGGGAAACCCUGAUGCAGCGACGCCGCGUGAGUGAAGAAGUCUUUCGGUAUGUAAAGCUCUAUCAGCAGGGAAGAAAUACAGUCCUUCUGACUUUGGACGGUACCUGACUAAGAAUCCCCGGCUAACUACGUGCCAGCAGCCGCGGUAAUACGUCGGGGGGAACCGUUAUCCGGAUUUACUGGGUGUAAAGGGAGAGUAGACGGCAGGGCAAGUCUGGAGUGAAAUCCCAUGGCUUAACCAUGGAACUGAUGUGGAAACUGUGCAGCUGGAGUGCAGGAGAGGUAAGCGGAAGUCCUAGUGUAGCGGUGAAAUGCGUAGAUAUUAGGAGGAACACCAGUGGCGAAGGCGGCUUACUGGACUGUAACUGACGUUGAGGCUCGAAAGCGUGGGGAGCAAACAGGAUUAGAUACCCUAGUAGUC
rnacentral:rRNA from 1 species